GACGUAGGGGCGCAAGCGUUUGUCCGGAUUUAUUGGGCGUAAAGAGCUCGUAGGCGGCCUGUCGCGUCGACCGUGAAAACCCGCAGCUCAACUGCGGGCUUGCGGUCGAUACGGGCAGGCUCGAGUUCGGUAGGGGGAGACUGGAAUUCCUGGUGUAGCGGUGAAAUGCGCAGAUAUCAGGAGGAACACCGGUGGCGAAGGCGGGGUCUCUGGGCAUGAUCUGACGCUGAGGAGCGAAAGCGUGGGGAGCAACAGG
rnacentral:rRNA from 1 species